AUCUUCAUUCGCCACCCUGGUC
rnacentral:misc_RNA from 1 species